rnacentral:rRNA from 1 species
AUCCAUAGGUUAAUGAGGCGAACCGGGGGAACUGAAACAUCUAAGUACCCCGAGGAAAAGAAAUCAACCGAGAUUCCCCCAGUAGCGGCGAGCGAACGGGGAGCAGCCCAGAGCCUGAAUCAGUGUGUGUGUUAGUGGAAGCGUCUGGAAAGGCGCGCGAUACAGGGUGACAGCCCCGUACACAAAAAUGCACAUACUGUGAGCUCGAUGAGUAGGGCGGGACACGUGGUAUCCUGUCUGAAUAUGGGGGGACCAUCCUCCAAGGCUAAAUACUCCUGACUGACCGAUAGUGAACCAGUACCGUGAGGGAAAGGCGAAAAGAACCCCGGCGAGGGGAGUGAAAAAGAACCUGAAACCGUGUACGUACAAGCAGUGGGAGCACAGAGCAAUCUGUGUGACUGCGUACCUUUUGUAUAAUGGGUCAGCGACUUAUAUUCUGUAGCAAGGUUAACCGAAUAGGGGAGCCGAAGGGAAACCGAGUCUUAACUGGGCGUUAAGUUGCAGGGUAUAGACCCGAAACCCGGUGAUCUAGCCAUGGGCAGGUUGAAGGUUGGGUAACACUAACUGGAGGACCGAACCGACUAAUGUUGAAAAAUUAGCGGAUGACUUGUGGCUGGGGGUGAAAGGCCAAUCAAACCGGGAGAUAGCUGGUUCUCCCCGAAAGCUAUUUAGGUAGCGCCUCGUGAAUUCAUCUCCGGGGGUAGAGCACUGUUUCGGCAAGGGGGUCAUCCCGACUUACCAACCCGAUGCAAACUGCGAAUACCGGAGAAUGUUAUCACGGGAGACACACGGCGGGUGCUAACGUCCGUCGUGAAGAGGGAAACAACCCAGACCGCCAGCUAAGGUCCCAAAGUCAUGGUUAAGUGGGAAACGAUGUGGGAAGGCCCAGACAGCCAGGAUGUUGGCUUAGAAGCAGCCAUCAUUUAAAGAAAGCGUAAUAGCUCACUGGUCGAGUCGGCCUGCGCGGAAGAUGUAACGGGGCUAAACCAUGCACCGAAGCUGCGGCAGCGACGCUUAUGCGUUGUUGGGUAGGGGAGCGUUCUGUAAGCCUGUGAAGGUGUACUGUGAGGUAUGCUGGAGGUAUCAGAAGUGCGAAUGCUGACAUAAGUAACGAUAAAGCGGGUGAAAAGCCCGCUCGCCGGAAGACCAAGGGUUCCUGUCCAACGUUAAUCGGGGCAGGGUGAGUCGACCCCUAAGGCGAGGCCGAAAGGCGUAGUCGAUGGGAAACAGGUUAAUAUUCCUGUACUUGGUGUUACUGCGAAGGGGGGACGGAGAAGGCUAUGUUGGCCGGGCGACGGUUGUCCCGGUUUAAGCGUGUAGGCUGGUUUUCCAGGCAAAUCCGGAAAAUCAAGGCUGAGGCGUGAUGACGAGGCACUACGGUGCUGAAGCAACAAAUGCCCUGCUUCCAGGAAAAGCCUCUAAGCAUCAGGUAACAUCAAAUCGUACCCCAAACCGACACAGGUGGUCAGGUAGAGAAUACCAAGGCGCUUGAGAGAACUCGGGUGAAGGAACUAGGCAAAAUGGUGCCGUAACUUCGGGAGAAGGCACGCUGAUAUGUAGGUGAAGUCCCUCGCGGAUGGAGCUGAAAUCAGUCGAAGAUACCAGCUGGCUGCAACUGUUUAUUAAAAACACAGCACUGUGCAAACACGAAAGUGGACGUAUACGGUGUGACGCCUGCCCGGUGCCGGAAGGUUAAUUGAUGGGGUCAGCGCAAGCGAAGCUCUUGAUCGAAGCCCCGGUAAACGGCGGCCGUAACUAUAACGGUCCUAAGGUAGCGAAAUUCCUUGUCGGGUAAGUUCCGACCUGCACGAAUGGCGUAAUGAUGGCCAGGCUGUCUCCACCCGAGACUCAGUGAAAUUGAACUCGCUGUGAAGAUGCAGUGUACCCGCGGCAAGACGGAAAGACCCCGUGAACCUUUACUAUAGCUUGACACUGAACAUUGAGCCUUGAUGUGUAGGAUAGGUGGGAGGCUUUGAAGUGUGGACGCCAGUCUGCAUGGAGCCGACCUUGAAAUACCACCCUUUAAUGUUUGAUGUUCUAACGUUGACCCGUGAUCCGGGUUGCGGACAGUGUCUGGUGGGUAGUUUGACUGGGGCGGUCUCCUCCUAAAGAGUAACGGAGGAGCACGAAGGUUGGCUAAUCCUGGUCGGACAUCAGGAGGUUAGUGCAAUGGCAUAAGCCAGCUUGACUGCGAGCGUGACGGCGCGAGCAGGUGCGAAAGCAGGUCAUAGUGAUCCGGUGGUUCUGAAUGGAAGGGCCAUCGCUCAACGGAUAAAAGGUACUCCGGGGAUAACAGGCUGAUACCGCCCAAGAGUUCAUAUCGACGGCGGUGUUUGGCACCUCGAUGUCGGCUCAUCACAUCCUGGGGCUGAAGUAGGUCCCAAGGGUAUGGCUGUUCGCCAUUUAAAGUGGUACGCGAGCUGGGUUUAGAACGUCGUGAGACAGUUCGGUCCCUAUCUGCCGUGGGCGCUGGAGAAUUGAGGGGGGCUGCUCCUAGUACGAGAGGACCGGAGUGGACGCAUCACUGGUGUUCGGGUUGUCAUGCCAAUGGCACUGCCCGGUAGCUAAAUGCGGAAGAGAUAAGUGCUGAAAGCAUCUAAGCACGAAACUUGCCCCGAGAUGAGUUCUCCCUGACUCCUUGAGAGUCCUGAAGGAACGUUGAAGACGACGACGUUGAUAGGCCGGGUGUGUAAGCGCAGCGAUGCGUUGAGCUAACCGGUACUAAUGAACCGUGAGGCUUAACCUU